rnacentral:rRNA from 1 species
UACGGAAGGCAGCAGUGGGGAAUAUUGCACAAUGGGCGAAAGCCUGAUGCAGCUAUGCCGCGUGUAUGAAGAAGGCCUUAGGGUUGUAAAGUACUUUCAUCGGGGAGGAAAAACAAAACUAAUAAUUUUAUUUCUUGACGUUACCCGAAAAAGAAGCACCGGCUAACUCCGUGCCAGCAGCCGCGGUAAUACGGAGGGUGCUAGCGUUAAUCAGAAUUACUGGGCGUAAAGAGCACGUAGGUGGUUUUUUAAGUCAGAUGUGAAAUCCCUGGGCUUAACCUAGGAACUGCAUUUUGAAACUGAAAUACUAGAGUAUCGUAGAGGGAGGUAGAAUUCUAGGUGUAGCGGUGAAAUGCGUAGAUAUCUGGAGGAAUACCUGUGGCGAAAGCGGCCUCCUAAACGAAUACUGACACUGAGGGUGCGAAAAGCGUGGGGAGCAAAACAGGGAUUAGAUACC